rnacentral:rRNA from 1 species
CAUACACUCCUGCGGGAGGCAGCAGUGGGGAAUAUUGGACAAUGGGCGCAAGCCUGAUCCAGCCAUGCCGCGUGAGUGAUGAAGGCCCUAGGGUUGUAAAGCUCUUUCACCGGUGAAGAUAAUGACGGUAACCGGAGAAGAAGCCCCGGCUAACUUCGUGCCAGCAGCCGCGGUAAUACGAAGGGGGCUAGCGUUGUUCGGAUUUACUGGGCGUAAAGCGCACGUAGGCGGACUAUUAAGUCAGGGGUGAAAUCCCGGGGCUCAACCCCGGAACUGCCUUUGAUACUGGUAGUCUUGAGUUCGAGAGAGGUGGGUGGAAUUCCGAGUGUAGAGGUGAAAUUCGUAGAUAUUCGGAGGAACACCAGUGGCGAAGGCGGCUCACUGGCUCGAUACUGACGCUGAGGUGCGAAAGCGUGGGGAGCAAACAGGAUUAGAUACCCGGGUAGUCCC